CAAUGCUUCUGUAGUUCCAGGGGAGAGUCCAAAUGUGGUAAACAGCUCCUCCCUUCAGGCUUCUGCAGGGGCGUGCUGUGCCAGAUGGAGCACUUGACACUGUGCCUCUAACUUUCCGUCACCAGCAGAAUUCAGCCUCAAAGGGUGUCAUAAAAUUAUAGUUAUUCAGGAGCACAAAUCCACAACUCUAUGAAGUUAAGGUGAAGCUAACGUUGACACUAGCUCCCUGCUGCUCCCAGCCUUCAGAAAGCACAAGGCUGGCACUUGGUGUGGAUCCUCCAGGAGAGAUUUCCCCAGGAGCUCGCAAGCUCCCUCUGCUGGACCUCGGCCUGGUGAAGCCUGCUCGGUCCCUAUCCAAGUCCUGAGACUCCAACUCCGCAAGGAAUCAUUGCUGGUGAGGUUAGGACCUUGAAACCCACAGUCAGGACCCACUGGUUAACUGACAUGUAUGUUUCACUUUCACCCUCUAAACAUUAAUGACUACAAUUACACAAUGACGAACACAACUGAAAUAAGAUUCCAAAAUACCUAGAUCUUCUCUUAUUGAAAAUAAACAGCUCUGAAAAAAAUCACAACUUUCAGACUCUAAAGAAAGGCUGCUGACAUAUAGUGUGUUAGUAAGAGUAAUGUUUUUUGAACGAUGUAGAUAUGUACACUUUAUGCAUGCAGAACGUUUCAAAUGACUUCUUUUUCAUACCUCUUAAUUUAUUCCAAUUUUUGAAUAGUAUUUAAUUCAUUGUGGUUUGUGACAGAAACAAAAUUUAAAUUCUGUAUUAUAGAAAUAUAAGCCAUAAGAUUUUGUCAUGUUAAUAUAUGUUAGAUUUAAAAUAAUAUAAUGUCCUUUGCAAUUUUUUAAGAAUU